GUCCCUUCGUGGGCAUCUGAUAAAAUUGGAACGAUACAGAGAAGAUUAGCAUGGCCCCUGCGCAAGGAUGACACGCACAAAUUGAGAAAUGGUCCAAAUUUUU
rnacentral:snRNA from 1 species